rnacentral:misc_RNA from 1 species
AAGACUAUAGACCUGCGGAGUACCUGCGGAAGGAUCAUUAUCAAUUUACAGCGGACUUCGGUCCUGUCUGCACCCUUGUCUUUUGCGUACUAUAUGUUUCCUCGGUGGGCUUGCCUGCCGAUAGGACACUUAUAAACUCUUUUGUAAUUGCAAUCAGCGUCAGAAAACUAUAAUAGUUACAACUUUCAACAAUGGAUCUCU